rnacentral:miRNA from 1 species
UAGGGUGAUCAAAAGUCCUGGCUUGCCUGGGACUGAGGGGUUUCCCACUUUCAGUGCUAAAACUAGGAAAGUUCUAAGCAAACCAGGAUCAGUUG